rnacentral:rRNA from 1 species
AGUAACGAUAAAGCGGGUGAAAAGCCCGCUCGCCGGAAGACCAAGGGUUCCUGUCCAACGUUAAUCGGGGCAGGGUGAGUCGACCCCUAAGGCGAGGCCGAAAGGCGUAGUCGAUGGGAAACAGGUUAAUAUUCCUGUACUUGGUGUUACUGCGAAGGGGGGACGGAGAAGGCUAUGUUGGCCGGGCGACGGUUGUCCCGGUUUAAGCGUGUAGGCUGGUUUUCCAGGCAAAUCCGGAAAAUCAAGGCUGAGGCGUGAUGACGAGGCACUACGGUGCUGAAGCAACAAAUGCCCUGCUUCCAGGAAAAGCCUCUAAGCAUCAGGUAACAUCAAAUCGUACCCCAAACCGACACAGGUGGUCAGGUAGAGAAUACCAAGGCGCUUGAGAGAACUCGGGUGAAGGAACUAGGCAAAAUGGUGCCGUAACUUCGGGAGAAGGCACGCUGAUAUGUAGGUGAAGCGACUUGCUCGUGGAGCUGAAAUCAGUCGAAGAUACCAGCUGGCUGCAACUGUUUAUUAAAAACACAGCACUGUGCAAACACGAAAGUGGACGUAUACGGUGUGACGCCUGCCCGGUGC